rfam:Pantoea sp. At-9b plasmid pPAT9B05, complete sequence.
UAAUCACCGGUUCAUCACGUUGCGUAUCCGGCUGGUAACGAAAUACCGUCCUGCUCAGCGACAAUGUCCUGCAUGCCUGACGUAAGCUCAUGGCAAACUGCGCGGUCAGAUAGCUGACCAGCUCACGCUUUAUCGCUGGUUUU